CCUACGGGAGGCAGCAGUCGAGAAUCAUUCACAAUGGGGGAAACCCUGAUGGUGCGACGCCGCGUGGGGGAAUGAAGGUCUUCGGAUUGUAAACCCCUGUCAUGUGGGAGCAAAUUAAAAAGAUCGUACCACAAGAGGAAGAGACGGCUAACUCUGUGCCAGCAGCCGCGGUAAUACAGAGGUCUCAAGCGGUGUUCGGAAUCACUGGGCGUAAAGCGUGCGUAGGCUGUUUCGUAAGUCGUGUGUGAAAGGCGCGGGCUCAACCCGCGGACGGCACAUGAUACUGCGAGACUAGAGUAAGGGAGGGGGAACCGGAAUUCUCGGUGUAGCAGUGAAAUGCGUAGAUAUCGAGAGGAACACUCGUGGCGAAGGCGGGUUCCUGGACAGUAACUGACGCUGAGGCACGAAGGCCAGGGGAGCGAAAGGGAUUAGAUACCCCUGUAGUC
rnacentral:rRNA from 1 species